CCUUUCACUGAAAGGGCCAGAUCCUGGCGAUGGUGACAGGAACGGUACCCCGCACGGUAAGGGUCAGGCAGGAAGGGCCUCCCACCGCGGCGUGGCUGCCGCCGUUCUAAGAAGAGACCAUGAAAAAUAAGGAAGAAGGCUAGAGAAAAAGAGGUCUUAGGGAAAUUUUUUUUUUUAACAAGUGGUGCAAUGUACCAGACUAGGGUGGGAAGAGUGAAGGCUGAAGAAGGUCUGGUGUUCUGCAGAUCGCAUGGCGGUUCUUUUCCACCAGUGGACCUCACUGGGGCCUCCUCUGCAGCUCUCAGGUGCAGCCCUUCCUCUACAUUCCCGCCGCCUUCAUUCCUGUCUACCCCUGGUCACCUUACCCCGGACUCCAGCAACAGCCCGCUCUCCCCAACCCUCCCCGGGAGCCUCCUCACUGCUGCCAGAGUAAUGGCCUGAAACACUGCCCUCAUCCUCCACACGUGUCUCUGCUGUACUCUGACGCGUGAUAUUCUUACCUGUCCAAACUUUCCUUCUACUGAUAUUUCACACAAACUUCCCUGCCCCUUCUUCCCUUCCCCAGGAGCAAUGACAGAACACAGACACAAAGGCGCAUCAUGCCUAUUCAAUUCCUAUUCUGUCCACCGCAUUUGCAGGGCCUCCCUGCCACCCACCCCCAUCCUGAAACUGUUCUGCUUCUAUACAGUUUGUGGACGUUGUGCCUAUAGAUCCCACAGUCAGGAUGAGUGGCAUGCAGGUUGAGUCCUGGCUUCCCAGAGGAUUGGCUGUGUGGCCUUGGUCAAAUGACAUAACCUCUCAGAGCUUCGGUUUUCUCUUAAGAUAUGGAUUUAGCAGAUCUAUUGUAGAGAUAAACACAUUGUGUCUACAGUAGUAUUUUAAAAUAUUUUCUACUUCUUCCCCUCCCCUGCGAUGUGGUAGAAAUCCACUACCCCAUCCUCUUGAAGUUAGAUGAGACCAUCGGACUUGCUUAGGCCAAUGGAAUGAGAGCAGAAGUGAUUGUGUUGCUUUCACUUGGAACCUUUAGGAGCCAGUGAGCAAAUCCCCAUGUCUUCUUUUUCCUAUCUUGACAAUCAUGGUGGUACAAAGUUGGAGCCUCCCCAAGCCAGCCUGAGUCUCUGUGUAAAGAUGGCAGAAAAUCCCAGCCAAUCUGCAUUGGAAAAGUAGUGUCAGCAAAUAUUAAACUUUAUUUAUGUUAAGUCAGUGGGAUUUGUUAAAGCAGCAUAACCUGGCUUAUUCUGGCUGAUAGUGUUACUCCCAGAUAUGUGGGACUUCAUCAGUAUCUAUUGAAUCAACAGCAUCAUCUACCAUAGGCUGGUACUGUUUUAUGACAGUAAACCCUCCUCUGUAAAGUAGCUGUUUACAAUCCCUAUUUUCAAUUGAAGAAACCGUAUCAGAAAGGUUAAGUAAUUUCCCAGAGGUUACACAGUUUGUAAAUGGCAGGACCAGGAUUUAAACCCUACCUGUCCAGUUCCAAAGCUCCCCCUUCUCCUUUCAUAUAUGCCAUGCUCCGUCUCCUUAAAUGGGAAGGAUGAAAAACACCCAGUACAAUGCCUAGCACACAGUCAUGCCCAGGCACUGGGAGUUCCUCUCCAGACUGAAUUCCUACCACGUUUAUAAUUGGAACCACACUUCAGCACAAUGCUAUCAGGCAUUGUGUGUGAAUGUUUUCACAUCGAUAAAGCAUUUUCUCCAACAAGAGCCCAGGCUCCUUGAUUAAGAGCUUCAGAUCUAGAGGCAGAGUGACUAGGUUCAAAUCCCUGUUCCACCUCUUAUGAUCAUCUUGGAUAAUUGUUUUCCCCCUCUAUGCCUCAGUUCUCUAAUCUGCAAAGUGGCGAUGGUAACUUUCAUGUGCGUCUGUGUGAAGAGACCACCAAACAGGGGUAGGUAAAGGAAAAUUACAGUCAAAGAAAGGGGGGUUGUUCUCUGGCGGGCAGGGGUGGGGGUCGUGAGGUGCUCAGUGGGGGAGCUUUUUGAGCCAGGAUGAGCCAGGAAGAGCCAGGAAAAGGACUUUCACAAGGUGAUGCGAUGGCUUGGCUUGGGCACAGAGGCCUGACAGUAACAAUGUAUGUGGUAUUAGCAAUUACGCCAAUAACACAUCCCACAGGGUUGGUAUGAGGAUUAAGGGCUAGACUAUAUCCACUCAAUAAAUCGUGGAUAUUAAUACGAUACUUUUCAUCUUCCAUAGCUCCUACUAGAAUUUGGAGCCUUUUUUUUUUUGCGAUGGAAUUUCACUCUUGUCACCCAGGCUGGAGUGCAAUGGCACGAUCUUGGCUCACUGCAACCUCCGCCUCCCUAGUUCAAGCAAUUCCCCUGCCUCAGCCUCCCAAGUACCUGGAAUUACAGGCAUGUGCCACCACGCCCAGCUAAUUUUUUUGUAUUUUCAAUAGAGACGAGGUUUCACCAUGUCGGUCAGGCUGGUCUCAAACUCCUGACCACAGGUGACCCACCUGCCUAGGCCUCCCAAAGUGCUGGGAUUACAGGAAUGAGCCACCGUGCCUGGCCUGGGGCAAUUUUAAGCAGUUUAAUCAUACUGCUUGGUUAGACUCUGAUUUCUGGUUUUGUUCUUGGAUACAGGACAGAUGUAGUAACAUUGGCACUUGAAAGUGUGACAUCCACACUAUCCUACAUCUUUUAUUUACAUAAGGCUCAUUACUGGUCCUUCACUGCACUUUCUAUUUUCAAAGCAAUUUAAAAGAAAGAAGGUAUGUUCGCUUUCUCAAGAAAUCGUUGUUCAGGAAUCCUGUCAUUCAGGCAGCAUAGAUGAGCUUGGAGGACAUUAUGUUGAGUGAAAUAAGCCAGGCACAGCAAGACAAAUACCACAUGUUCUCACUCAUAUGUGGAAGCUAAAAAAGUUAAUCUCAUUGAAGUAGAGAGUAGAAUUGUGGUUACUAGAGGUUGGGGGAGGGGACAGGGAUAGCCAAAGGUUGGUUAGCGAGCACAAAAUUACAACUAGAUAAGACAAAUAAGUGCUCAUCUUUGAUAGCACUGCAGGGUGACUAUAAUUAAUAAUUUAAUUGGGAGGAUACAAUAAAUUAGUAAUUUAUAUUGUGUAUUUAAGAACAUACAGUAGAAUAUUAUAUUGUAUAUAUUCAUUAUUGAUUGUAUAUAUUUAUUUAUUGUAUGUUUAUAAUUUAUUGUAUAUAAAUUAUAUACAAUAUAUUGUCUAUAUUAAUAAUUUAUUUUAUAUAUUCAGAUAGCUAGAAGAGCAGAUUUUGAAUGUUCCCAACACAACAAAAUGAUAUAUGUUUGCUAUGUGAAUAACCCUGAUUUGAUCAUUACACGUUGUAUGCAUGUAUCGAAA
rnacentral:lncRNA from 1 species